CUUGAGAUGAGUUUUCCCUGGCACUAUAAGUGUCCUAAAGGGUUGUCGUAGACUACGACGUUGAUAGGCAGGGUGUGUAAGUGCUGCGAGGCAUUGAGCUAACCUGUACUAAUUGCCCGUGAGGCUUAACCAUACAACACCCAAGGGGUUU
rnacentral:rRNA from 1 species